rnacentral:rRNA from 1 species
AGUGAACGCUGGCGGUAGGCCUAACACAUGCAAGUCGAACGGCAGCACAGUAAGAUCUUGCUCUUACGGGUGGCGAGUGGCGGACGGGUGAGGAAUACAUCGGAAUCUACUUUUUCGUGGGGGAUAACGUAGGGAAACUUACGCUAAUACCGCAUACGACCUACGGGUGAAAGCAGGGGAUCUUCGGACCUUGCGCGAUUGAAUGAGCCGAUGUCGGAUUAGCUAGUUGGCGGGGUAAAGGCCCACCAAGGCGACGAUCCGUAGCUGGUCUGAGAGGAUGAUCAGCCACACUGGAACUGAGACACGGUCCAGACUCCUACGGGAGGCAGCAGUGGGGAAUAUUGGACAAUGGGCGCAAGCCUGAUCCAGCCAUACCGCGUGGGUGAAGAAGGCCUUCGGGUUGUAAAGCCCUUUUGUUGGGAAAGAAAAGCAGCAGGUUAAUACCCCGCUGUUCUGACGGUACCCAAAGAAUGAGCACCGGCUAACUUCGUG